rnacentral:rRNA from 1 species
UACAGAGGGGGCAAGCGUUGUUCGGAAUUACUGGGCGUAAAGGGCGCGUAGGCGGCCUGCUAAGUCGAACGUGAAAUCCCCGAGCUCAACUCGGGAACUGCGUCCGAUACUGGCAGGCUUGAAUCCGGGAGAGGGAUGCGGAAUUCCAGGUGUAGCGGUGAAAUGCGUAGAUAUCUGGAGGAACACCGGUGGCGAAGGCGGCAUCCUGGACCGGCAUUGACGCUGAGGCGCGAAAGCUGAGGGGAGCAAACGGGG